CUGUAGGGCAUAUAAAGAAACACCUACUGGUUCAACAUGAAUUUUACAUUCUUUCUCAUCAUCUUGGGAAUACUAAUGAUACUUGCCCUAACCGAAGGCGAUUAUUCGGCAUGUCGUGCGAUUUGCCAGAAACAACAUCUGCCAGGUGGAAAGGGUAAUGAUCACGCUGCUUUUUUUCAGUGUCUCCAACAGAAAUGUCAAUGUAUGUAAAUUGUGUACAGAUCAGUGAAUAAAAUCAAUAAACAAUAUGCGAUAUUAUAAGCAAUGAUUUUAAGGAGAACAUACAUACAGUCUCCGAACAGAAUCGAAGAA